rnacentral:misc_RNA from 1 species
UACGAAGGGGGCUAGCGUUGUUCGGAAUUACUGGGCGUAAAGGGCGCGUAGGCGGGUGAAUAAGUUAGGCGUAAAAGAUUUGGGCUCAACCUGAGUUGUGCGUUUAAUACUGUUUAUCUUGAGUUACGGAGAGGUAAGUGGAAUUUCCAGUGUAGAGGUGAAAUUCGUAGAUAUUGGAAAGAACACCGGUGGCGAAGGCGACUUACUGGACGAUGACUGACGCUGAGGCGCGAAAGCGUGGGGAGCAAACAGG